UUAGGAAUUUUGCGCAAUGGACGAAAGUCUGACGCAGCGACAUCGCGUGAGGGAUGACGGCCUUUGGGUUGUAAACCUCUUUUAUAGUGACAUGAAGUCAAAAUGAAUAAGCAACUACUAACUACGUGCCAGCAGUCGCGGUAAUACGUAGGUUGCAAGCGUUACCCGGUUUUACUGGGCGUAAAGCGUCUGUAGGUUGUUUUUUAAGUCUCAUUUCAAAGACUCCGACUCAAUCGGAGAAAGGGGUGGGAGACUGAAAGACUAGAGUUAUAUCGGGGUUACUGGAAUUGACUGUGUAGGGGUAAAAUCCGUGGAUACAGUUAAGAACACCAAGCGCGAAGGCGGGUAACUAGGUAUAUACUGACACUCAGAGACGAAAGCUAGGGGAAUCAAUCAGAUU
rnacentral:rRNA from 1 species